rnacentral:rRNA from 1 species
AUUGAACGCUGGCGGCAUGCCUUACACAUGCAAGUCGAACGGUAACGCGGGGCAACCUGGCGACGAGUGGCGAACGGGUGAGUAAUGUAUCGGAACGUGCCCAGUUGUGGGGGAUAACUGCUCGAAAGAGCAGCUAAUACCGCAUACGACCUGAGGGUGAAAGCGGGGGAUCGCAAGACCUCGCGCAAUUGGAGCGGCCGAGAUCAGAUUAGGUAGUUGGGGGGGUAAAGGCUCACCAAGCCAACGAGCUGUAGCUGGUCUGAGAGGACGACCAGCCACACUGGGACUGAGACACGGCCCAGACUCCUACGGGAGGCAGCAGUGGGGAAUUUUGGACAAUGGACGCAAGUCUGAUCCAGCCAUGCCGCGUGCGGGAAGAAGGCCUUCGGGUUGUAAACCGCUUUUGUCAGGGAAGAAACGCUCUGGGUUAAUACCUCGGGGUAAUGACGGUACCUGAAGAAUAAGCACCGGCUAACUACGUGCCAGCCGCCGCGUAAUAC